UAUCUUUGGAAGCUCGAGCAUCAU
rnacentral:siRNA from 1 species